UUCGUGCCGAUUACAUCGCUAGAAUAAUUUUAACAUUACAAUUUUUUACAAUUAUAACGCGCUUUUACAUUUAUUAAUUUAUUUUAUCAACAACGGUAGGCAGCGAAUUAAAAGGGAAUAGAAUGCAGCCAUUGAUGCAUCGACCAUCAACUAUAUAGUGUAGAUGUCGCUAUAAAGUGUAUACAAAUAUUCUUGAUCAGCGACAACUGCCGAGGCGAUAUAAAAGAUGAGAACGACAUCGAAGUCGACGAUGCGGGAUGUUUAAAAGUGAAAUAGCUAAGCACAAAAUCAAAUGCAGAGAUAUCGCAUAUUACUUUUUUUUUUUAAAUUCAAUUAUCCAUGAAGGAUUUUAUUUAACUAUUUUUAAAUGCCCAAUGAAGAGAGCAAAAGUGUUGCCACAAAUGCGUCCCUUUAGAUUUAUAGUUGAAAGCAGUGGGUCAGAGGAAUCCAAGGCUCUAUUAAACACAUCUGAUCACGGUCUAUCACUACGUAAACAGUUAUAUAUUGUGAAUCACAAUUUGUGAAAUACAAAAAAACUUUCGUGAAAAAAUUUGUGGUACAUUUUUGUUAAAAUUGAAACUGUUUUUCAAAAGUUUGGUACAAACAAUUUUUUUGGAAUGGCAACCGUGAUUCUAAUUUAUUUCAGACUUAAAUUGUUUACAUUAGCAUUUCCAUUGAUACUUGAUCUAUAGCAAACUAAUAAUCAUAAACUUUGCAAUUACAGUUGCAGUAUCUGAAAUUUGACAAAAAUUAAAAGUCGUUUUAGUUUUUCAUGGGCAUGUAUUUCAUGCAUUUGAAUGCGACUAAAUGUACAUAAUUAACGAUUAAAUUUUGAAGACUUCUUGAAGCGUCUGUUGUAUUGGUUAUAGCCAAAGGGAUCAACCAGCUGGUUUGGUCUGCCUCGCAAUUGCUGUGUGAUU